GGAAAUCUCACCAGGCCAGGACACUGGAAGGAUUGACAGAUUCUUAGUUGGUUGAGUGAUUUGUCUGGUUAAUUCCGUUAACGAACGAGACCUUAACCUGCUAAAUAGUGACGCGGUUCAUCGAACCGUGGGCCACUUCUUAGAGGGACUAUCGGAUUCAAACCGAUGGAAGUGUGAGGCAAUAA
rnacentral:rRNA from 1 species